rnacentral:rRNA from 1 species
AAGCCCAGCGCAUAAUCUCCCGGGCUACCCAGCCUGCGGCGACAUGUUGCGUAAAGGGAAAGGUCGUUACAAAGCCCUGCACAGCGUGUUCCUAAGUUUGGUUUGAGUGUCCACUGUACCAUUAAUACGGGUGCUAUGGUUCCACAGAGGGUGACAGACCCGUCUGGCCACGAGGACAUGUGCAUGGGUUCGGCUUCUAUUCCCUGAGAGUCGCGUUGCUUGAGCAUGCAGCGCUAAGCAGGACGUAAACUCGUCCUAAGGCUAAAUAUUUCCACAGAACCGAUAGUAAACAAGUACCGUGAGGGAAAGUUGAAAAGCACUCUGAAGAGAGAGUCAAAAGACCGUGAAACCGCUCUGAGUAUAAGCCAAUGGUAUCCUGGAAGGUUGGGACUCAUGCCAGAAGGAUCGGAUUCCUCAAGGAGGAAGAUUCAAAGUGGCAAAAUUCAGUGUGUUGGACAUAUAGAGAGGGCGUGGUGUGGUAGAUGUAACUGACGCGGCAUUGGGUUGCGCGCACCUGACUGAUUAACUCGCGGGUCUCUGACAGUGGUAACAGGGAAAGCCAUUCUUGAGUGGUGGMCCCGAGGCUGGACUUGUGCGAAUGCUCACGCUCUUACACGACACUUAACUGAAUGGUCCAAAUACAACCCACCACAACUCUUUGUAAGGUCACACACGUGAGAUUCGACUUGGUGUGGUGUCAUGCGCGUUUAAGACUGUGGUCGCGAAUUUGGUUUCAACGCUGCCCGCCUACCGCCUACAGGCACAGUGGAACACAGUCCGGCUGACACCCUCGUUUCUAUUCCAGACACGUGUUGUAUGAUCCUAUGCGAAGGUUGCUUUCCUGAUGAUCCUACCUACCUGCAGUACAUCUCAAACUAGUCGAGUGGCUGGGUGGAACUCUUGUUGUGGGAGCCCCGAUGAAGCCUGUACACACCUGGUGUGCGGUGCAGAGGGGCAGCGCUUGAUCGAUCCACCGUUGGUAAGGGAUGAUUGGUGACUUAUUCCAGGGCCAUUGGUCACGUCUCGAAACACGGGCCAAGGAGCAUAGCAUGUGCGCAAGUCAAAGGGUCUCACAAAACCCGGAGGCGAAGUGAAAGCAAAUGGUGUGUCUGUCAGCAGUUUUAUUAUUGCUUGUCAGGCAGCUUGCGGCUAGUGUGUGAUUCCUUGCUGCAUCGUCUGUGGCUUGAUGAUCGCUCUGCUCUGCGGCUUAUACCGAGCUGAUCCCAAGAUAAUGCCCUGUGGCUGUGUCUGGGCGCAAGCUCCAGGCUCUCCAUCAGCGCACCUCUCACGGGGUGUGCGUUGGGAGCACUGUGUAGCGUGCAUGCUAUGACCCGAAAGAUAGUGAACUAUGCCUGGCGAGGGCGAAGCCCCAGGAAACUGGGGUGGAGGCCCGUAGCCGUUGUGACGUGCAAAUCCAUGGUG